CAAUAGCGUAUAUUAAAGUUGUUGCGGUUAAAAGCUCGUAGUUGGAUUUCUGCUUGGGGUGGCCGAUGUGCCUUCUGGGUUACAGCCGGUUCAGCCUGAGCAUCUUCUUGGGAAUCGUGUCUGCACUUGACUGUGUGGCACGGGUUCCAGGACUUUUACUUUGAGGAAAUUAGAGUGUUUCACGCAGGCGUCCGCCUUGAAUACGUUAGCAUGGAAUAAUGCGACAGGACCUCGGUCCAUUUUGUUGGUUUCUUGGGUUGAGGUAAUGAUUAACAGGGAUGGUUGGGGGCAUUCGUAUUUAACUGUCAGAGGUGAAAUUCUUGGAUUUGUUAAAGACGAACUACUGCGAAAGCAUUUGCCAAGGAUGUUUUCAUUGAUCAAGAACGAAAGUUAGGGGAUCGAAGAUGAUCAGAUACCAU
rnacentral:rRNA from 1 species